rnacentral:rRNA from 1 species
ACAGGUGGUCAGGUAGAGAAUACUCAGGCGCUUGAGAGAACUCGGGUGAAGGAACUAGGCAAAAUGGUGCCGUAACUUCGGGAGAAGGCACGCUGGCAUUAGGUAAAGGGACUUGCUCCCGGCGCCGAAGCCAGUCGCAGAUACCAGCUGGCUGCAACUGUUUAAUAAAAACACAGCACUGUGCAAACACGAAAGUGGACGUAUACGGUGUGACGCCUGCCCGGUGCUGGAAGGUUAAUUGAUGGGGUCAGCCGCAAGGCGAAGCUCUUGAUCGAAGCCCCAGUAAACGGCGGCCGUAACUAUAACGGUCCUAAGGUAGCGAAAUUCCUUGUCGGGUAAGUUCCGACCUGCACGAAUGGCGUAAUGAUGGCCAGGCUGUCUCCACCCGAGACUCAGUGAAAUUGAACUCGCUGUGAAGAUGCAGUGUACCCGCGGCAAGACGGAAAGACCCCGUGAACCUUUACUAUAGCUUGACACUGAACAUUGAGCCUUGAUGUGUAGGAUAGGUGGGAG